GUCCUGACGUCAGCGGAGGCUGACCCCGGGCGUGGCGGCAGCGUGCUACGUCCCACGGCGUCCCAUUGGCCGCCUGCGCCGGACGGGUGGAGCCGAUAGGCCCCGCGGGCGGGCGGUCUCCGACUUAGGGCGCUGCGCUAAAGUUCAUCCCCUCAGACUCAUAGAGUUCAAGGCAUACUGAAGAUAUGCUUCCUGGGGCUUGUAAUGAUUCCUGCUUCUAUAGCUGCACCAAUAGGGAUGACCUCAUCAGGAGGAAUGGCAUUCAGAAGCUCAACAGCUGGGAAAAGAUCUUUAAUCAGUUGCUGUAGUUUUGGGAUUCGAGAGGACCCUCCACAAAGGACAACCUAGAAAGUGAAAAUAAGCUCCAGU